CCGUGAUGUUGAUGUGUGAUGCGACCGGUCUGACGCAACGUCGUGCCUGCAGGCUUACAGGUU
rfam:Bacillus sp. VT-16-70 Bacillus_obstructivus_contig303, whole genome shotgun sequence.